UGAGCCUAGAAGUAUGCCCAGGUAAAGGAAGCCUGGAUAGUGCCUAAGAAGGUCGAAGGAUAGAAGACCUCUGGCAAGAAGAGGGGUUAGAAAGAUCCUCAGGCGGCCCAUGCCAAAAGAGAAUCCUCCCAAUCGCCAAAGAACUAUAGACCGACAAGUCCAUCUCGAUGAUUCGAUGGCUACACCCCUCAGUCUGCCCCUUGGCCCUAAAUUCUAAUGGAGAUCAAGGGCCAGUUGUAUUUAUGAUGACUUGAGCCAAUGAAGGCCCCUCC
rnacentral:lncRNA from 1 species